ensembl:lncRNA
GCAUAUCCACCUAUCCCCACAUGAAAAACCAAUUCCAGUGUGGGACCCACAUUGCAAGUGGCUUGCACAAUCCAUCUAUUCUUAUCGGAGGAAACUUCAGCAAGAUGAGUUGCAGAAGUAACAACUAUCUGCAGAAGCAACAAAUAACUCUAAGCAACUGUAAUGGCUAAGAUUUCUCAGACUCAGUAGGUCUUAUGAGGUCUGAUUCCAAGUAAACAUUGGGAAAAAUCCUCUCUGGCAAGGAGGAGGAGAAAGCUGAAUCACUUGGUUCUGCUGUCCUUAUCCAGGCAAUGGUCAGACCCAGAGGAAGCACAGCAGCAGCUCCCAGGGGUGCCUUGUUCUGCUUCUGCACGUUGUGCCGUGAAACACAAAGACACAGCUGGCAGGAUGCUGCCCUGUACGCAUAUCCAGUGCUUGUUCUGACAGCAGAUUUCUGAUAUAAAUCUAUGGCAGUGGUUGCAGAUGAAUUAAAGACAGACAAAAUGCCACACACUGUGCUGUCCAGAAAGAGCAACUCUUAAAAGCUGGGUGGACUUUGGAGCUUGGCUGGACAGGAGGUCAGAACACGAACUGUGAGUAACAGUGCUUCGGAAGAUGGACUGAAAGAUUCUUGCACUACUAAUGAAUUUCCAGGAAAACUGACUGUAAACUGCUAUCAGGAUAGGCUCCCCCAUAGAGAGAGAGCAGCUCUAGUUAAGCUAUCAAGGGAAAUACAUGGAGGAGAGAGAGAGACAGCUGGGAGAGCAAGGAUGGCAGAGAUGACACACGUGAGGAGCUGUGCCUUGGCCGGUGCAGGGAGAGACCCUGUCGUGCUGUACAACUGAACUUCAACCACAGAUCAAAACACGCCUUUUGCAAAUUCUUUGAGGGGCUUUUAAAUACCCUGUGAUAUCGAGAGAAAAAGCAGCCCCCCAGUACUCCAGCUGGGAAGACGGGGCACUUUGAGAAGGCCACAUCAGAGCCGAAUCACCCCAGAAAUGUAAAACUGCACAGAGGGUUCAACUGUUCUCCACAGAGAAGGGUCACAGGACGGCCAGGAGCAGCUUUUGUGAAGCAGCUUCCAUGUUACACUCUUUUUGAUUUCUCGGAAUAUCCCUGGAGCACAAAACUGUGGGGAAUGCUGUGUUUUAUGUUAAGGUGAAAGAAAAGAGUAUUUACAUAAGACUGCAAGAAGGCCAGCAAGCUCUGGUGAGACAGCAAGUGAUGAUGGAGGCUGUGACACUGUUGUUUUCUUUAUAGAAUUUGCCAAACGGGCAAACCAGGGGUAGAAAUCAUCUGAAGCCGUGUAGAUGUUCCUAGGGCGUGAUUCAUCUCUCCCCAACAUUCUGUCAAGGGAACUGAAGUUCAGGAGGGCCUACCUCUGAAGGACCCGCCCUCCUGGGAGCUGCAGGCUGCCAGGCCUGCUCUGCUGUGUCACGCAACCCCAGGGCCACAUGUGUCCCACCCCAAAUGGCUAGUGAGGGUGCGUGUGCCGUGUAUGACCUGAAGGCUAAAAGCGGGGAGGGAAAACAUCCAACCAUGAGGACAAGAUCAUAGAAUCCUAGAAUGGCUUGGGUUGGAAGGGACCCCAAGGACCAUCAAGUACCAACCCCCUGCCACAGGCAGGGCCUCCAACCUUCAGAUUGCUCCAAGAGUCCACAGACUUCAACUCCUCCCUCCUCCAGAGGCACAGGCUGAGAGUGUACAUGUUUUGGUGUCACUGGGGACGGUAGGAAAAGGAGAUAAAAUCCCACAUUGUGUGUUGCUGAAGGGUAUCUUUUCACUUCUGGAAGAACAGCAGUCUUUUGUGUAUGGCUCACUGCACGUCUCUGCGUAUGGACAGCUUUGCCAUAGGUGACAACACUUCUCCAAAUCGACUUUUAUGUUGUGUUCAGAGGCUAAGGCCUCUCCCAGUAAACUGUUUUUAUGCUUUAAUUUUUAUAUGAUCCGUGAUACGUUUGAGUUGAGUUACGGUAGCGUUGGCAGCAUUUUGAAAAGGGGAGCACAAUUAGGGGCUGCAUGCUGAUAGCGAGAGAUCUGGGGGGGGCUGCAGUAAUGCCAGCAAUGUCAUGUUGUAUGAUGAGACAUGGGUCUGCAAAAAACUGUCGCAGUGGUUGCCAGUGAGUGGCUGAGAUGGCACAUUCCUUCUCCUGCUAUGUGUAUGGAAAGCUGUCAGUGCUAAACAGGAGUUUUUUGGAAGGUAUUUAGUUGUUUGUUCAAAGGAUCUACAAGAAAAUACGUGACAAAGGUGAAUCCGUGCCUUUCCAUUAAACACGUGUUGUGGGAAAGGCUGCACCAGCUGCUUGUUUUCCCUCAGCUGAUAAAGGCAAGGUGUUUUGGCUGGGGCCACAAUGGGGAUGUUCUACAUCUGCCCCUUCUGCUGGGGAGAGCUCCUGGCCACCAGCUUCAGGGUGAGCUGGCCAAUGCCAGCUGGGUGCCUUCCUUCGGUGUGGCUGGAUUUCCAGCCCUGGCACCCUGCUGACAGCAGGGAUGAAGCCUGGAGGCAGGAGUGGUUGCUGCACACCCCUCUGUGGGACAGUGGCUCUCUGUGGCUGGACAUGGUGCAUGGUGAUGGAUGCUCUGGGUUGCUCAGGCAGCAGGGCUCAACUUGUGCUCUGUAGGCCUGAGCACUGGCCACAAAGAAAAGGGCUUUCUGGUGAGCUGCCACUUAGCUCAGCUGCUCCACAGCCUUAUCUUCUGUUUUGAAGGACUCUGACAGGGAAAAACACCACCUGUGGCUUGCAGUAAUGCUGGCUCCCUGUUACACUCUCUCAGCUUCCCUCCAGAUAUCAAAGGCAGAGAAGGCAACGACUAUCUCCCCUCUUUGAUAGGUGUCGGUAAUGAAGCAGAGAGGAUCAGGAGGCAGAGGAUGGAGUCCAGGACAAACUGCUCAGGGUGUCCCUGCUUGAGCAGGGACUGGAUCUCCAGAGGGCCCUUCCAACCUCAUCUGUUCUGUGAUCCCGUGAUAAGAGAAUGAACCCAGCCUUGCUGGGAUUGGUUUUGUCCACAGCAAUGGACCUGCCUGGGCUUUGCCCAGGGGAAGAUCGUGCUCGGUGUGCCCUUCUCACUUCAUGUUCAGUCAUGUGGCUGUGCGGGUCCUCUCUGUGCAGGCAUAGGCAGGACAGGCAGCAUGGGUUUGCGUCACCGAAGGUGCAGGCUUAGGCUCAGCUGGCAUCCCUGGAGCCAGGUGGGUGGGAGGGACCAGGGCAGGGUGCUAGGAACUUAGGUUGGGGUAGAGCUGCUGAGAUGCAAAAAUGUGGAGAUUCCGAGAUGUGUGGUGGUGAUGUUGAUAUGCAGUGAUACAGAGGUGCAGAGACAUGAAGAUGUAGAGGUCCUGCCCUGGAGCUGGGAGAGGAGAUGUGAUAAAGUCUCAUCCACUUCUGUUCCUUCAGAUUUGGGGUUUUAACAAUGCAUGAUGCAGGAGAGUGCUGCAUACAGUUAUUACUCAUAAACUCUGUCCAACUCAUGGGUAAACGAAGACCUAAAUAGUAAGUUUGCCCUUAGCCCUUAAUAAGGAGCGAGUUAAGUCCCAUUUGGAUCAAUGAUUUCAAGUGAAAAUUCAAUAACAAAAUGCUUUUGACAUAUUUGCCAGCUCUGUAGUUUGCAGAUGUUAUCUGCUGCCACUGCAGUUUAUCUUCUGACAACAAGGGCAGAGUUGAUAGGCGUGAUCUCCAGGAAGGGACACCUCCAGGAGGGGCAGAUGGCCACUGAGGCAGGCCUCUGGGAUGGCCCGGUCACACAGCCAGCUCCAGAAAGCCCAGGGACUUGCAGGAGAGGGCAGGGAUUCAUCCACUCCUGUCAGCUCCACCCCAUUUUGCCUUUCAGGCUGAGGACCUGAGCAUUAAGACUGCAGCUACACUGAUAGAACGCGAGGUUGAAUACAAAGGCUUUCUCUGCUGGGGGAGAUAUUACACAGAACUAGAAGGCUUUUGAUCACAGUUUGGUCCAUACAUCCCCAUUAGCUUGUGAGUUCUGAGCCCUUCCUAAGCUGGAAGCUCUUUUCUGGUGGAGACCAGCUCACUCUAUGAAAGCUGCUUUGCAAAUUUUCCAGUGUUUUGUUCCUUUUUGCAUGUUUUGAAGCAGGAGAGCUCCACCAGAGAUGCUCCUCCAUGUUAUUGUUUCCUUUCCCUGCUGCUGACAGUGAUUCAGAUCAACCGAGGUCAGAAAAACCACACAAGAAUGUAGAUUUUGAAACGUCAUGGUUGGUAAUUCAAUAAAAGUUGCACGGAUAUUAGACAAUUUCCUGUGAUUAAUACCACACUGUAAGCUUUAUUCAUGAGCAUUUCAACCAAGGAAUGUAUUUCCUAAAUCUCCCUGCUUUUAGUCCCUUGUCCUAUCCCCAUCUGAACGUGUAAAAAGUCAGACUCCCUCCUCUAUAUUAGCUUCCUUCAAACACUGGAAGGCCGCAGUGAGGUCUCCCCAGAGCCUUCUCUUCUCCAGACCAAACAAGUCAAUUUCCCCAUUGGCCUUUCUUCCUUUUUCCUCCUCCUUUGCCAAGGAAGCUGAUUUUGCUGGUGUUUUCAUUUCAUGAAUAG